rnacentral:rRNA from 1 species
GCUGGCGGCAGGCUUAACACAUGCAAGUCGAGCGGUAGCAGAUCUAGCUUGCUAGAUGCUGACGAGCGGCGGACGGGUGAGUAACGCGUAGGAACCUGCCCAGUAGUGGGGGAUAGCCCGGGGAAACUCGGAUUAAUACCGCAAACGCUCUACGGAGGAAGGAGGGGGCUUCGGCUCUCGCUAUUGGAUGGGCCUGCGUGAGAUUAGCUAGUUGGUGAGGUAAUGGCUCACCAAGGCGACGAUCUCUAGCUGGUCUGAGAGGAUGAUCAGCCACACUGGGACUGAGACACGGCCCAGACUCCUACGGGAGGCAGCAGUGGGGAAUAUUGCACAAUGGGCGCAAGCCUGAUGCAGCCAUGCCGCGUGUGUGAAGAAGGCUUUCGGGUUGUAAAGCACUUUCAGUGGGGAGGAAGGCCUCGUAGUUAAUAGCUGCGAGGAUUGACGUUACCCACAGAAGAAGCACCGGCUAACUCCGUG